ACUGGGCAUGGUAGGUACCUCAUGACUGUAAUUCUAGCACUUGGGAAGCUGAGGCAGGAAGAUUGCCACAAGUUAGAGACUAGCCGGGGCUUUGUACUGAAUUCCAGGUCACCAAAUCUCAAUACCCUCAUCUCCCAGCCAAAAAUGGCAUCGGUCCUUGUGUUUCUCUGGCAGCAGGGGAAGAGAAUCUUCAGAGGUCCAGCCCCUGGGAAUUCUGCCUGGGUACCAUUGUUUAAUCAGGAGCCCAAACCUAAGUUUGCCUGUUUUUUCCUCCAGCCCUUUCCAUCCCAUUUCUACUGCCUCUUUGUGGGUACAGGCCUGCCCUGGAAGUAAAGUGAGAAUGGAAAGAGCUGGUCCAUCGUCCUUGCAAAUCUCUUAAGUGGUCUGUUCCUUUCGGGCGUUAAAGUAGAGCAGACAGGUGCCUGGCUGGCUGCGCAUUCAGAAGUGUGUUUUUAUGUCUGGACGGCUCUGACUCAUGCCUAGUGUUUUUCAUGCCCUUCAUUCUUAUUGCCUUAAAAUAAGCCCUGACUCCAUGGGGGCGUCCACUGAGGAAAGAGUCGGCACCAGACCCGGGUGCACUCUCACUGCUGCCCUCAGACACUUCCUCCACCUGCCUGGGGAGGUGUGGAGAGCUGUGUACCACUCUAAAAUUAGUGCUGUAAAAAUUGCUAGAAGCUAGGCACGGUAGCAUACUACUGCAAUCAGGUGGUACAGGAGGAAGGAAUCCAAGGGCAGGCUAGACUACACGACACACUGUCCCAGAAAAGAAAAGAAGAAUUACUGAAAGUCCAUCCAGGACUAAAGCCUGAGUGCCAGGCUGUGCUUGCAGUCAAUUAGUUGUGAUAGCCUUUAAAUUUGAAAGUCAGGGUUUGGGUGCAGAACUCAGCAGAAGAAGAUAGACUUAGCACACACAGUAUCGUCAGCACACAGAAGCAAUACAGUGGAAUCUAGAAGUCCUGAUGGUAACAUAGGAAUGGCUACUCUUUGUGAUGCCAGGCACCUUUAACCCCAGAAUUUGUGAGGCAAAGGGCAGGUGGAUCUCAAGUUUGAGGCCAGCCUGUCCACAUUAGUUCCAGGCCAGCCAGUGAGUGAAACCCUGUCUUUAGGGAGGGAAAGGGGCUAUUUUUCACUACUUUUUCUUCUUAGCAUUCUCCACCUGUUUAAAUAACAGGCAGUGUGUUGGGUCCCGUAGCAGUGCUGUCUGGGGACUCUACCCCACCAGAAAGCUGCCUUUCACGUCGGUAAAGGCUAAAUAUUUUCUCUAGGAAUUUGCUUUCUCGCAGAUAUUAUUGUUUAAUUUCCUGUAUAAUCGUGGAUAUAAAAUUGUCUUUCUAUUAAAUAAGUGGUUUGACUAAUGCACAUGGAACUUUGCAGCCAAACCUCUCACACUUAUUGUCAGAUGAAGUCCUCCAAGGUACAUGCAGAAAGGAUGGGGAUGUUCAGAGAGCCCUUACUUGAUGUCACAGCUCCUCCCAGGUUGCAGCACAUACCUGUAGUCCAGCUGCUUAGGAGGCUGGGCAGAGGACAGCUUGAGCCCAGGAUCUCAUGGCCAGCCUAGGCAACACAGAAGGACCCGUCUCUUGAUGAGAAACUUCAAAUGCAAGGUCAACAUCGCCUCGGUAACAGCGCUGCAAACUGUUCUUCCUUUGAUUACUGGAUUGCUCCAUCUAAUCAGUCAUUUUAACUCAAGAGGUCCAAAUUAGAAUAAAAUCAUGGAUUCUUUAUCUU
rnacentral:lncRNA from 1 species